AGAUUGAACGCUGGCGGCAUGCCUUACACAUGCAAGUCGAACGGUAACGCGGGGCAACCUGGCGACGAGUGGCGAACGGGUGAGUAAUGCAUCGGAACGUGCCCAGUAGUGGGGGAUAGCCCGGCGAAAGCCGGAUUAAUACCGCAUACGACCUAAGGGUGAAAGCGGGGGACCGUAAGGCCUCGCGCUAUUGGAGCGGCCGAUGUCAGAUUAGGUAGUUGGUGGGGUAAAAGCCUACCAAGCCUACGAUCUGUAGCUGGUCUGAGAGGACGACCAGCCUCACUGGGACUGAGACACGGCCCAGACUCCUACGGGAGGCAGCAGUGGGGAAUUUGGACAAUGGGCGCAAGCUGAUCCAGCCAUGCCGCGUGCGGGAAGAAGGCCUUCGGGUUGUAAACCGCUUUUGGUCAGGAAGAAAUCCUUGGCCGAAUACCCCGAGGGAUGGACGUACCGUGGACGAAGUAA
rnacentral:rRNA from 1 species